UGGGAAUCUCUUACCAAUGAUCCCAUUUCACAGACAAAUAAACUGAAGCUCAUGGUGGUGAAAUAAUUGGUGUGGUGUUUACCCAGUGCUAGUGGUAGAACUGACUCCCCAGAUUGGGAGAUGUGGUUUGUUUUUUGUUUUUUUGAGACAGGGUCUCACUCUGUUGCCCAGGCUGGA